rnacentral:rRNA from 1 species
CUAUAAUGCAGUCGAACGCUUCUUUUUCCACCGGAGCUUGCUCCACCGGAAAAAGAGGAGUGGCGAACGGGUGAGUAACACGUGGGUAACCUGCCCAUCAGAAGGGGAUAACACUUGGAAACAGGUGCUAAUACCGUAUAACAAUCGAAACCGCAUGGUUUUGAUUUGAAAGGCGCUUUCGGGUGUCGCUGAUGGAUGGACCCGCGGUGCAUUAGCUAGUUGGUGAGGUAACGGCUCACCAAGGCGACGAUGCAUAGCCGACCUGAGAGGGUGAUCGGCCACAUUGGGACUGAGACACGGCCCAAACUCCUACGGGAGGCAGCAGUAGGGAAUCUUCGGCAAUGGACGAAAGUCUGACCGAGCAACGCCGCGUGAGUGAAGAAGGUUUUCGGAUCGUAAAACUCUGUUGUUAGAGAAGAACAAGGAUGAGAGUAACUGUUCAUCCCUUGACGGUAUCUAACCAGAAAGCCACGGCUAACUACGUGCCAGCAGCCGCGGUAAUACGUAGGUGGCAAGCGUUGUCCGGAUUUAUUGGGCGUAAAGCGAGCGCAGGCGGUUUCUUAAGUCUGAUGUGAAAGCCCCCGGCUCAACCGGGGAGGGUCAUUGGAAACUGGGAGACUUGAGUGCAGAAGAGGAGAGUGGAAUUCCAUGUGUAGCGGUGAAAUGCGUAGAUAUAUGGAGGAACACCAGUGGCGAAGGCGGCUCUCUGGUCUGUAACUGACGCUGAGGCUCGAAAGCGUGGGGAGCAAACAGGAUUAGAUACCCUGGUAGUCCACGCCGUAAACGAUGAGUGCUAAGUG